rnacentral:rRNA from 1 species
UAACGCGUGGGUAACCUGCCUCAUACAGGGGGAUAGCAGUUAGAAAUGACUGCUAAUACCGCAUAAGCGCACAGUGCUGCAUGGCACAGUGUGAAAAACUCCGGUGGUAUGAGAUGGACUCGCGUCUGAUUAGGUAGUUGGUGGGGUAACGGCCUACCAAGCCGACGAUCAGUAGCCGACCUGAGAGGGUGACCGGCCACAUUGGGACUGAGACACGGCCCAA